GAAAAUGUGGCAGUCAUUCUAAUACUUUGUUCUUUAGCUUUGGUUACAAAAGUUGAAAUCAUUAGUGAGUUUUUAUUAGACAAUGAAAUGUUCUAUUAGAUAAGUUACUAAAUUAACUGUAGCUGUAUCUUCUUUUGCAAACAAAUAUUUGUUCCAGAACCUGACUGGAUUUGUCUGUGUGCCACAACAACAUACUGGCAGUAGUCAAAUAAUGCACACAAGUUAAAAAACUGGAAAUGAAAUCUGGCAACCCUGCAGUCUUCACUAUAAAUUUUCAGAUGUACAUGAUGUGAUCUCUGAGAAGUAUGCUUACCCAUGAACUGCGUCUCUACGUUGCAACACAGUUAGAAGAGUGCAGCAUCCAGUUUCCCCGGCAGCUGUGGCAGCACCUGGUGGUAAUGCCACCCUGGAGUGCUCUUUCUCUACCAGCAAAAGCCUCAAUCUAACAAACCUCAUCAUUAACUGGCAGCACGGGG